UAAGGAAUAUUGGACAAUGGAGACAACUCUGAUCCAGCCAUGCCGCGUGAAGGAAUAAGGCCCUAUGGGUUGUAAACUUCUUUUAGACGGGACAAAACCCCUUUACGUGUAAAGGGUUGAUGGUACUGUCAGAAUAAGCAUCGGCUAACUUCGUGCCAGCAGCCGCGGUAAUACGAAGGAUGCAAGCGUUAUCCGGAAUUAUUGGGUUUAAAGGGUGCGUAGGCGGACUAAUAAGUCAGUGGUGAAAGCCUGCAGCUUAACUGCAGAAUUGCCAUUGAUACUGUUAGUCUUGAGUACAGUUGAGGUAGGCGGAAUGUGUCAUGUAGCGGUGAAAUGCUUAGAUAUGACACAGAACACCGAUUGCGAAGGCAGCUUGCUAAGCUGUAACUGACGCUGAGGCACGAAAGCGUGGGGAGCAAACA
rnacentral:rRNA from 1 species